ACAAUAACAGCUGAUCGCCACAGUCGCUACUUUUCCAUAAACGGAUCAAUCCUUCAACAGAGUCACCACGUUCAAAGGAUGACUGCAGUUAUAAACAUAAAGAUGGAAUAUGUCCUGGACAAAAACCGUCCUCCAGGAGACCUCAUAGUGAAGGAGGGCGAUAUCUGCUCAACCUGUGAAGACUUUAGGAUCCUGAAUAUGACACAAUGGAUGGAAUCCUCAGAGAAAAUGUCUACAUUGAUGACCUUU